GUUUAUUGGGAAUUAUUUUAUGUAAGGGGUUUUAUUUUAAUUGUUCUUAUGGGGCCCUAUUUAUAGGGAACUUUUAUGUUGAUGAGAGUUUAAUGAAGAAUUAAAGAUUUCUUUCCCCCACAUCUCCUCUUCUUCUCUUCUCCUCCCUUCUCCUUCUUCUCUUCUUCUUCCUCCUUCUCUUCCCCUCUUCUCCUUCUUCCAUUUAAAACUUGGUCCGGCAUCAACUUGGUAUCAGAGCUUUGGAGGGUUUUGCCACUGCUGCCAAAGCCCGAUCCAUCAGGGCCUUAGUUCCUGUGGGCU
rnacentral:lncRNA from 1 species